GAUUGAACGCUGGCGGCAGGCCUAACACAUGCAAGUCGAGCGGUAGCACAGAGAGCUUGCUCUCGGGUGACGAGCGGCGGACGGGUGAGUAAUGUCUGGGAAACUGCCUGAUGGAGGGGGAUAACUACUGGAAACGGUAGCUAAUACCGCAUAAUGUCGCAAGACCAAAGUGGGGGACCUUCGGGCCUCAUGCCAUCAGAUGUGCCUAGAUGGGAUUAGCUAGUAGGUGGGGUAACGGCUCACCUAGGCGACGAUCCCUAGCUGGUCUGAGAGGAUGACCAGCCACACUGGAACUGAGACACGGUCCAGACUCCUACGGGAGGCAGCAGUGGGGAAUAUUGCACAAUGGGCGCAAGCCUGAUGCAGCCAUGCCGCGUGUGUGAAGAAGGCCUUCGGGUUGUAAAGCACUUUCAGCGGGGAGGAAGGCGUUAAGGUUAAUAACCUUGGCGAUUGACGUUACCCGCAGAAGAAGCACCGGCUAACUCCGUGCCAGCAGCCGCGGUAAUACGGAGGGUGCAAGCGUUAAUCGGAAUUACUGGGCGUAAAGCGCACGCAGGCGGUCUGUCAAGUCGGAUGUGAAAUCCCCGGGCUCAACCUGGGAACUGCAUUCGAAACUGGCAGGCUAGAGUCUUGUAGAGGGGGGUAGAAUUCCAGGUGUAGCGGUGAAAUGCGUAGAGAUCUGGAGGAAUACCGGUGGCGAAGGCGGCCCCCUGGACAAAGACUGACGCUCAGGUGCGAAAGCGUGGGGAGCAAACAGGAUUAGAUACCCUGGUAGUCCACGCCGUAAACGAUGUCGAUUUGGAGGUUGUGCCCUUGAGGCGUGGCUUCCGGAGCUAACGCGUUAAAUCGACCGCCUGGGGAGUACGGCCGCAAGGUUAAAACUCAAAUGAAUUGACGGGGGCCCGCACAAGCGGUGGAGCAUGUGGUUUAAUUCGAUGCAACGCGAAGAACCUUACCUGGUCUUGACAUCCACAGAACUUUCCAGAGAUGGAUUGGUGCCUUCGGGAACUGUGAGACAGGUGCUGCAUGGCUGUCGUCAGCUCGUGUUGUGAAAUGUUGGGUUAAGUCCCGCAACGAGCGCAACCCUUAUCCUUUGUUGCCAGCGGUUCGGCCGGGAACUCAAAGGAGACUGCCAGUGAUAAACUGGAGGAAGGUGGGGAUGACGUCAAGUCAUCAUGGCCCUUACGACCAGGGCUACACACGUGCUACAAUGGCAUAUACAAAGAGAAGCGACCUCGCGAGAGCAAGCGGACCUCAUAAAGUAUGUCGUAGUCCGGAUUGGAGUCUGCAACUCGACUCCAUGAAGUCGGAAUCGCUAGUAAUCGUAGAUCAGAAUGCUACGGUGAAUACGUUCCCGGGCCUUGUACACACCGCCCGUCACACCAUGGGAGUGGGUUGCAAAAGAAGUAGGUAGCUUAACCUUCGGGAGGGCGCUUACCACUUUGUGAUUCAUGACUGGGGUGAAGUCGUAACAAGG
rnacentral:rRNA from 1 species